rnacentral:rRNA from 1 species
AUAUCAGUCAUGCAUAGCAUAUCAAUAAGCGGAGGAAAAGAAACUAACAAGGAUUCCCUUAGUAACGGCGAGUGAAGCGGGAAGAGCUCAAAUUUGAAAUCUUCAAGGUUUUACCUUGACGAAUUGUAGUUUAAAGAAGUGUUUUCUGUUGAAGUUUUGGUAAAAGUUCUUUGGAAUAGGACAUCAUAGAGGGUGAGAAUCCCGUAUUUGACCAUUACUUUCAGCUUUGUGAUACACUUUCAAAGAGUCGGAUUGUUUGGGAAUGCAGUCCAAAAUGGGUGGUAAAUUUCAUCUAAAGCUAAAUAUUGGCGAGAGACCGAUAGCGAACAAGUACCGUGAGGGAAAGAUGAAAAGGAACUUUGAAAAGAGAGUUAAACAGUACGUGAAAUUGUCAAAAGGGAAGCGUUUGACACCAGUGUUGUUUUCUCGAAAAUCAAUUAAAAAGAGUUGGAUUUUGUGUUGUAUUGACUUUAUCAGCUUUCUUCACUCUUUUCCAGCUUUUUUUAAUGCACUUUUCGUUUAACAAGUCAACAUCAGUUUCUUUUGUUGUAAAAAGGUCAUUGGAAGGUGGCUUUCUCUUCGGAGAAAGUGUUUAUAGCCUUUGACUCAUGCAAUCGGAGAGACUGAGGUCUGCAGCGUAGAUCCUUCGGGGUUAGAUACAUUUGUGCUAAGUUAUAGCUUUUCAUAGACAACUUGUUGACUACGUUUAGUCUUGUAGCUUACUCGCUUAUGCUAUUUUACCUACGCUUAGGAUGUUGAACUCUAUCACACACAG